UGUAAGCGUAUACCAAAGUUGUUGCAGUUAAAACGCUCGUAGUCGGAAUUUGGCAGUUCCGGAUGUGUGCACGUCGUGUGCGCACUUCGCGGGGAUUGCUUUUGUGGUCUUGCGUAGGAUGAGGCACUUUUAUUAGUGAACGUCCUCACGCAACCACUUUUUACUGUGAGAAAAUCAGAGUGCUCAAAGCAGGCAUUUGCCGUGAAUGUAUUAGCAUGGAAUAACAGAAUAGGACUUGGUUCUAUUUUGUUGGUUUGUUGGGACUGAGUAAUGAUUAAGAGGGACAGUUGGGGGCAUUUGUAUUUCGGUGCUAGAGGUGAAAUUCUUAGAUUACCGAAAGACAAACUGCUGCGAAAGCGUCUGCCAAGGAUGUUUUCAUUGA
rnacentral:rRNA from 1 species